rnacentral:lncRNA from 1 species
UAUAUAUCAUCGCAAAAUACAGGAAGUUCACAUGGUGCGGCAAAUGCAUAUUAUUCACUGUAAAUUUGUAACAAAACAAGAUACACAGGACAUAAUGGUAUUUGACACGCAAGUUCAAACAGACAUGAAAACACACACAACUUAUAUCCUGCAAACGGGGACACCCACAAAGCUCCAGCACGAGAGACGCAGAGCGGCAACAAGCUAGCGCAACCCAGUGGACAUCGCACCGUCACUUCAAGACCGCGAAACCUCCGACGCCGGCCAGGAGGAGCAGCGGCAGGACGGACGCCCAGAGCACCGCCACGCCGACCGCGCGCCGGCGCGGCGGGGCCGCAGGGUCGUCGUGGGAGAGCCAGAGCCCCGUCCACGCCUCCGCCACCCCGAAGAGGACAGUCGCGGCCAGGACGCCGUAGUAGGCGCGGAGCAGCGAUCCGGAC